CAUGACCCAUUUAGAUCCAUUGCUGGCAAGUUUCUUGCCUCUAUUACACGAACAAGAAGCCUCAUUUCUCCAAGAACAAACGCAAAAUGCUCAACUUCACUUGAAUAUAAAUUAAACCCACUAUUCCUUAGAACCCAAAAACAGAAUAACAAUAUCAAAAGCGACCCGCUUCUUAUUAUUUUCUAUUCAGGAAAAUCAAUCGAAUAACAGCAAUAAAC
rnacentral:misc_RNA from 1 species